rnacentral:rRNA from 1 species
UACAGAGGUCUCAAGCGUUGUUCGGAUUCAUUGGGCGUAAAGGGUGCGUAGGCGGCGCGGUAAGUCGGGUGUGAAAUCUCGGAGCUUAACUCCGAAACUGCAUUCGAUACUGCCGUGCUUGAGGACUGGAGAGGAGACUGGAAUUUACGGUGUAGCGGUGAAAUGCGUAGAUAUCGUAAGGAAGACCAGUGGCGAAGGCGGGUCUCUGGACAGUUCCUGACGUGAGGCACGAAGGCCAGGGGAGCAA